GGCUGUCGUCAGCUCGUGUCGUGAGAUGUUGGGUUAAGUCCCGUAACGAGCGCAACCCUUGUCCUUAGUUACCAGCACGUAAUGGUGGGCACUCUAAGGAGACUGCCGGUGACAAACCGGAGGAAGGUGGGGAUGACGUCAAGUCAUCAUGGCCCUUACGGCCAGGGCUACACACGUGCUACAAUGGUCGGUACAGAGGGUUGCCAAGCCGCGAGGUGGAGCUAAUCUCACAAAACCGAUCGUAGUCCGGAUCGCAGUCUGCAACUCGACUGCGUGAAGUCGGAAUCGCUAGUAAUCGUGAAUCAGAAUGUCACGGUGAAUACGUUCCCGGGCCUU
rnacentral:rRNA from 1 species